rnacentral:rRNA from 1 species
AUUGAACGCUGGCGGCAGGCUUAACACAUGCAAGUCGAGCGGGGUGAUGGUGCUUGCACUAUCACUUAGCGGCGGACGGGUGAGUAAUGCUUAGGAAUCUGCCUAUUAGUGGGGGACAACAUCUCGAAAGGGAUGCUAAUACCGCAUACGUCCUACGGGAGAAAGCAGGGGAUCACUUGUGACCUUGCGCUAAUAGAUGAGCCAAAGUCGGAUUAGCUAGUUGGUGGGGUAAAGGCCUACCAAGGCGACGAUCUGUAGCGGGUCUGAGAGGAUGAUCCGCCACACUGGGACUGAGACACGGCCCAGACUCCUACGGGAGGCAGCAGUGGGGAAUAUUGGACAAUGGGGGGAACCCUGAUCCAGCCAUGCCGCGUGUGUGAAGAAGGCCUUAUGGUUGUAAAGCACUUUAAGCGAGGAGGAGGCUCCUUUGGUUAAUACCCAAGAUGAGCGGACGUUACUCGCAGAAUAAGCACCGGCUAACUCUGUGCCAGCCGCCGCGGUAA